UGGGGAAUUUUGGACAAUGGGGGAAACCCUGAUCCAGCCAUCCCGCGUGUGCGAUGAAGGCCUUCGGGUUGUAAAGCACUUUUGGCAGGAAAGAAACGUCAUGGGUUAAUACCCCGUGAAACUGACGGUACCUGCAGAAUAAGCACCGGCUAACUACGUGCCAGCAGCCGCGGUAAUACGUAGGGUGCAAGCGUUAAUCGGAAUUACUGGGCGUAAAGCGUGCGCAGGCGGUUCGGAAAGAAAGAUGUGAAAUCCCAGAGCUCAACUUUGGAACUGCAUUUUUAACUACCGAGCUAGAGUGUGUCAGAGGGAGGUGGAAUUCCGAGUAUAGCAGUGAAAUGCGUAGAUAUGCGGAGGAACAACGAUGGCGAAGGCAGCCUCCUGGGAUAACACUGACGCUCAUGCACGAAAGCGUGGGGAGCAAACAGG
rnacentral:rRNA from 1 species